UACGUAGGUGGCAAGCGUUAUCCGGAAUUACUGGGCGUAAAGCGCACGCAGGCGGCUAGUCAAGUUCGACGUGAAAGCUCCCGGCUUAACUGGGAGAGGUCGUUGAAAACUGGUUAGCUUGAGGCAAUGAGAGGGGUGUAGAAUUCCCGGUGUAGUGGUGGAAUGCGUAGAUAUCGGGAGGAAUACCAGUGGCGAAGGCGGCUUCCUGGACCAGAGCUGACACUGAGGCGCGAAAGCGUGGGGAGCAAACAGG
rnacentral:rRNA from 1 species